rnacentral:rRNA from 1 species
CGUGCCGUGAGGUGUUGGGUUAAGUCCCGCAACGAGCGCAACCCCUAUCUUUAGUUGCCAUCAGGUUAUGCUGGGGACUCUAAAGAAACUGCCUACGUAAGUAGUGAGGAAGGCGGGGACGACGUCAAGUCAUCAUGGCCCUUACGUCCAGGGCUACACACGUGCUACAAUGGUAGGUACAAUGAGAUGCCACUUGGUAACAAGGCGCAAACCUCAAAAAACCAAUCUCAGUUCGGAUUGAGGUCUGCAACUCGACCUCAUGAAGCUGGAUUCGCUAGUAAUCGGAUAUCAGCAAUGAUCCGGUGAAUACGUUCCCGGGCCUU